CAGUAGCCGCGGGAAUACAGAGGGUGCGAGCGUUAAUCGGAUUUACUGGGCGUAAAGCGUGCGUAGGCGGCUAAUUGAGUCGGAUGUGAAAUCCCUGAGCUUAACUUGGGAAUUGCAUUCGAUACUGGUUAGCUAGAGUGUGGGAGAGGAUGGUAGAAUUCCAGGUGUAGCGGUGAAAUGCGUAGAGAUCUGGAGGAAUACCGAUGGCGAAGGCAGCCAUCUGGCCUAAUACUGACGCUGAGGUACGAAAGCAUGGGGAGCAAACAGGAUUAGAUACCCCGGUAGUCCCUGUCUCUUAUAC
rnacentral:rRNA from 1 species